AGAGUUUGAUCAUGGCUCAGAUUGAACGCUGGCGGCAGGCCUAACACAUGCAAGUCGAACGGUAACAGGAAGAAGCUUGCUUCUUUGCUGACGAGUGGCGGACGGGUGAGUAAUGUCUGGGAAACUGCCUGAUGGAGGGGGAUAACUACUGGAAACGGUAGCUAAUACCGCAUAACGUCGCAAGACCAAAGAGGGGGACCUUCGGGCCUCUUGCCAUCGGAUGUGCCCAGAUGGGAUUAGCUAGUAGGUGGGGUAACGGCUCACCUAGGCGACGAUCCCUAGCUGGUCUGAGAGGAUGACCAGCCACACUGGAACUGAGACACGGUCCAGACUCCUGCGGGAGGCAGCAGUGGGGAAUAUUGCACAAUGGGCGCAAGCCUGAUGCAGCCAUGCCGCGUGUAUGAAGAAGGCCUUCGGGUUGUAAAGUACUUUCAGCGGGGAGGAAGGGAGUAAAGUUAAUACCUUUGCUCAUUGACGUUACCCGCAGAAGAAGCACCGGCUAACUCCGUGCCAGCAGCCGCGGUAAUACGGAGGGUGCAAGCGUUAAUCGGAAUUACUGGGCGUAAAGCGCACGCAGGCGGUUUGUUAAGUCAGAUGUGAAAUCCCCGGGCUCAACCUGGGAACUGCAUCUGAUACUGGCAAGCUUGAGUCUCGUAGAGGGGGGUAGAAUUCCAGGUGUAGCGGUGAAAUGCGUAGAGAUCUGGAGGAAUACCGGUGGCGAAGGCGGCCCCCUGGACGAAGACUGACGCUCAGGUGCGAAAGCGUGGGGAGCAAACAGGAUUAGAUACCCUGGUAGUCCACGCCGUAAACGAUGUCGACUUGGAGGUUGUGCCCUUGAGGCGUGGCUUCCGGAGCUAACGCGUUAAGUCGACCGCCUGGGGAGUACGGCCGCAAGGUUAAAACUCAAAUGAAUUGACGGGGGCCCGCACAAGCGGUGGAGCAUGUGGUUUAAUUCGAUGCAACGCGAAGAACCUUACCUGGUCUUGACAUCCACGGAAGUUUUCAGAGAUGAGAAUGUGCCUUCGGGAACCGUGAGACAGGUGCUGCAUGGCUGUCGUCAGCUCGUGUUGUGAAAUGUUGGGUUAAGUCCCGCAACGAGCGCAACCCUUAUCCUUUGUUGCCAGCGGUCCGGCCGGGAACUCAAAGGAGACUGCCAGUGAUAAACUGGAGGAAGGUGGGGAUGACGUCAAGUCGUCAUGGCCCUUACGACCAGGGCUACACACGUGCUACAAUGGCGCAUACAAAGAGAAGCGACCUCGCGAGAGCAAGCGGACCUCAUAAAGUGCGUCGUAGUCCGGAUUGGAGUCUGCAACUCGACUCCAUGAAGUCGGAAUCGCUAGUAAUCGUGGAUCAGAAUGCCACGGUGAAUACGUUCCCGGGCCUUGUACACACCGCCCGUCACACCAUGGGAGUGGGUUGCAAAAGAAGUAGGUAGCUUAACCUUCGGGAGGGCGCUUACCACUUUGUGAUUCAUGACUGGGGUGAAGUCGUAACAAGGUA
rnacentral:rRNA from 1 species